UAAAGAGAUCCCAUGGGGUAAGACUGGUGCUGAGUAUGUUGCAGAAAGGAGGUCCAUAGAAAAUAACGAUGAGGGAUUGCUAUGUGUGCAGAAGACCAUGUUAUGAAUGAGCCGUUCUAAAUCCUGUUUUCCUAGACAGUUCUUCAAACUUUUUAUUCCGCUUAUUAAUGUUCCUUGAUACAAAUCAUGUCAUCCCUGUAUUUCUAUAUGGAGCAGCAAAUGAGCAAGCAAGGACCCUUGAUUCAACCAGUAGAAUUGCUAGACAGAUUUGGAUAAGGCUACACUAUUAAAGUUGAGAUCCAUGAUGGCCCGUACAAAGUCGUCAAGAACUGGAACUACAUUGCAUUGAUUAACACCAUCCACAAUGGCGAAGGCAAAUGUUGGAUAGCCAAGGUUAUGUGAAGGUGGGGAGCACUUAGAAUACUUUUCAGAUGGAACCGAUGCUUCAUGAGGAAGUCCUGCGGCAAACACUCCCUAAGUAAUUCUUUUGUCUUGAAGCAUUUUUUGUAGUUUAAUAUUUCAUGACUUUUUCUUUUCUCUUUUGUUUUGUGGGUAAGCUGGAAUCAAGCCCAUGACUUCAUUCUCGUAGUCUUUCUCUUUACCACAUGAACAUUGGGUAUGGUUUGAAUCUUGGAGCUGAGACUUUGUAUUCUACUGAGUCACUCAAUUUUUCUAGAAACCAAGCACCGAAUGAUGUAGUAAACUCACUUUGUGCUCUCGUGGUUUGGUUCUAGCUUCAUUAUUGACUUGGUUAGGAACCAACUCAA